UAUGUCCAGAUUCCUUACCCCUCACAUCUAAAUAUUGGUCGGAGUGGCUGAAAAAGGAGGAAAGGUGAAAAUGAGGCGCACUUGGGGGCUUUAACGACACCGCAUUAUAAAAAGGAAAGUUCAUUUCAAACAUUA
rnacentral:snoRNA from 1 species